AUGAACAUCCCCAGCAGCAGAUGGGGCCCUGAAGACAUGCAUGGCUGUUUCCCCUGUUGAUUGGGAUGGGAAUCUGGAGAAUGCGGAGCCCCUGAUACUGGAUGAAUUGUCUGUUAGACGAUGCUUUGCCAGCUCUAAAUCAGCAGCUGCAACACUGGAACAGAGACGUGAUGGACGCCGCGGUCUUGUGGGAGUUUGUGUCAGAGUCUAACAGAACAUUUUACAGUCAGAACACAGAAUCAUUCAACGCGGCACAUCCUGAGCUGCGAGGAAUGCUGUGAACAAGGGCUAGAGAGAUCUCCCGCUGAGAGCGGCUUUGGUUUAUGCUGAGUACAGCACGAGAGCAGAAAACAGACACCUAACAAGAGACUUGAGCCAUUAAAUGAAGUACUCAUCACCAUUGUUAGCCAGAAGAAAGCAAUUCCGCCGGCUGAUUAUCCAGCAAGUGGGCGAUGCAUUCAGAGUCCACCUGGAAAGAAUUGAGCGGAGAGAACGCUUUUCCAUGUUUGUAAUGGUGCUGCUGAGGACACAGGAAAUUUGCUAAAUAAAUAAA